AGUCGAACGGUGAACACGGAGCUUGCUCUGUGGGAUCAGUGGCGAACGGGUGAGUAACACGUGAGCAACCUGCCCCUGACUCUGGGAUAAGCGCUGGAAACGGCGUCUAAUACUGGAUAUGUGACGUGAUCGCAUGGUCUGCGUCUGGAAAGAAUUUCGGUUGGGGAUGGGCUCGCGGCCUAUCAGCUUGUUGGUGAGGUAAUGGCUCACCAAGGCGUCGACGGGUAGCCGGCCUGAGAGGGUGACCGGCCACACUGGGACUGAGACACGGCCCAGACUCCUACGGGAGGCAGCAGUGGGGAAUAUUGCACAAUGGGCGCAAGCCUGAUGCAGCAACGCCGCGUGAGGGAUGACGGCCUUCGGGUUGUAAACCUCUUUUAGCAGGGAAGAAGCGAAAGUGACGGUACCUGCAGAAAAAGCGCCGGCUAACUACGUGCCAGCAGCCGCGGUAAUACGUAGGGCGCAAGCGUUAUCCGGAAUUAUUGGGCGUAAAGAGCUCGUAGGCGGUUUGUCGCGUCUGCUGUGAAAUCCGGAGGCUCAACCUCCGGCCUGCAGUGGGUACGGGCAGACUAGAGUGCGGUAGGGGAGAUUGGAAUUCCUGGUGUAGCGGUGGAAUGCGCAGAUAUCAGGAGGAACACCGAUGGCGAAGGCAGAUCUCUGGGCCGUAACUGACGCUGAGGAGCGAAAGGGUGGGGAGCAAACAGGCUUAGAUACCCUGGUAGUCCACCCCGUAAACGUUGGGAACUAGUUGUGGGGUCCAUUCCACGGAUUCCGUGACGCAGCUAACGCAUUAAGUUCCCCGCCUGGGGAGUACGGCCGCAAGGCUAAAACUCAAAGGAAUUGACGGGGACCCGCACAAGCGGCGGAGCAUGCGGAUUAAUUCGAUGCAACGCGAAGAACCUUACCAAGGCUUGACAUAUACGAGAACGGGCCAGAAAUGGUCAACUCUUUGGACACUCGUAAACAGGUGGUG
rnacentral:rRNA from 1 species